UACGUAGGCAGCAAGCGUUGUUCGGAAUUACUGGGCGUAAAGAGUGUGUAGGCGGUGCUCUAAGUUCGGUGUGAAAUCUCCCGCUUAACUGGGAGGGUGCGCCGGAAACUGGAGUGCUUGAGCGCGGGAGAGGAAAGCGGAAUUCCUGGUGUAGCGGUGAAAUGCGUAGAUAUCAGGAGGAACACCUGUGGUGUAGACGGCUUUCUGGACCGUAGCUGACGCUGAGACACGAAAGCGUGGGUAGCAACAGG
rnacentral:rRNA from 1 species